CACGCAGGUGGCUGAGUCAGUCGAUUGUGAAAGCCCUGGGCUUAACCUGGGAAUUGCAGUCGAUACUACUUAGCUAGAGUAUGGGAGAGGGCAGUGGAAUUCCCGGUGUAGCGGUGAAAUGCGUAGAUAUCGGGAGGAACAUCAGUGGCGAAGGCGGCUGCCUGGCCCAAUACUGACACUCAGGUGCGACAGCGUGGGAGCAAACA
rnacentral:rRNA from 1 species